UGUAAAUACCUUUUACAAGUGUUUUCCAUACUGGGCCAUCUAGUUUAUCCAUGGAGGAUUUUGCUGUUUUUUAGAAACCCGUGCCUGUGGCUGCACUGCUUUUGUAUCCCACGGAGCAUCUCAGAGACAGGCAGGGCUCUGUGUCACCUGUGGGUUACACCUGCAGGGGUGGCACGGGACAACCCUCAGCACAGCAUCACCUGUCCCAGGUGGGGAUGGCACAGGACAACCCUGGUAGCUUCAGCUUCUUGCUGUGACUUCAUGGAGCUCUGCCACAGCCAUGGUGCCCUGCUGGGGCACAGGUGACACAGGGACAGCCCCACCUGGCUGCUCCUGCAGGACAGAUCCUGCUCCUGGACCUUCCUGUGCCACUGGAGAGCCCAUGCCUGUGUGAGCGGCUGGCACAGGCGCCAAGGAUGGGUCUGGCUGCCCGGGAUCGGGAACUCACCGGGGUUCUGAGGGUUUUCAGCUGCCUGCUCUGGGAGCCAACUCUGGAAUCCUGCAGUGUUCCCAUCCCUGAAGGUUUUCAGCUGCCUGCUCUGGGAGCCAGCCUCUGGAAUCCUGCAUGCUCUUCCUGCUCUGGGAGCCAACCUCUGGAAUCCUGCAGUGUUGCCAUUCCUGAAGGUUUUUGGAUGCCUGGUCUGCAACCCAGCCUCUGGAAUCCUGCAGUGCUCUUCCCAUUCAUGAAAGUUUUCACCUGCCUGCUUUGGAAUCCUGCAGUGUUCCCACUCCUGAAGGUUUUCAGCUGUCUGCUCUGGGAUCCUGCUGUGCUCUUCCCCUCUGGCAGAGCACUCCAGUGCUGGUGGUUUGGGUGUCAGAUGCAUUGAACUCAGUGCUGUACUUGUAGCACCUCCUUCACGUGGUUUGCUUCUCCAGACUCGUCGUUGCAUCGUCGGUGUGGAAAAUAGACCAGUAUCAACCUUUGCUCUUUGGUGGUGUGUAAGUGUUUAAGUGUGGUUUGCCUCACAUACUGAUCUGUAUUUGGCAGCUAAUGGUGUUAAGUGACCAUGAGUUCUCUUUGUCUGGGUUGGAAAAUAAAAGGUUUUAUUGUAUCCGCAUGUAUUUUAAACUUUUUGGAUAAUUCCAUCGACCUGUGAUGACAGCACAUGUAAAAACCAAUCCUUUCCUUUUAUUCAGAAGUUAUAUUUGCUGUGGUAGCACUUGUUGUUGGCACUGAUGGUAGUGAUUUCACAUCCUGUUUUGUACAUCAGGUUUUAUGAUUACAGUGUUUAAGUUUGUACAACUGUUUAUGUAAAAAUGAUUUGGUCUGAAGAGAUGCCGUGUGUUCACUUCCGAUCCUAGACACAUACGAGAUCCUGCUGGUAAUCCUGUUAACUAGUUACAAUAUACCAGACUUCUUUUUUACAGAGCUUUACAUGCUUUUAUUUAUUCCUUUAUCGGACCAUCCAAACCAUGUACUCCGUAGUUCAGUAUUUGUAGACCAGUUUCACAAAUCAACUUAAGGUUAAUUGUGGCAAAGCUUCGAAUAAAUGUUUACUGAGACUUUGC
rnacentral:lncRNA from 1 species